rnacentral:rRNA from 1 species
AGAGUUUGAUCCUGGCUCAGAACGAACGCUGGCGGCAUGCCUAACACAUGCAAGUCGAACGAGACCUUCGGGUCUAGUGGCGCACGGGUGCGUAACGCGUGGGAACCUGCCUUUAGGUUCGGGAUAACUCCUCGAAAGGGGUGCUAAUACCGGAUGAUGUCUUCGGACCAAAGAUUUAUCGCCUUUAGAUGGGCCCGCGUUGGAUUAGCUAGUUGGUGAGGUAAAGGCUCACCAAGGCGACGAUCCAUAGCUGGUCUUAGAGGAUGAUCAGCCACACUGGGACUGAGACACGGCCCAGACUCCUACGGGAGGCAGCAGUGGGGAAUAUUGGACAAUGGGCGAAAGCCUGAUCCAGCAAUGCCGCGUGAGUGAUGAAGGCCUUAGGGUUGUAAAGCUCUUUUACCCGGGAUGAUAAUGACAGUACCGGGAGAAUAAGCCCCGGCUAACUCCGUG